rnacentral:ncRNA from 1 species
GAAAGUUAAGGGAUCGAAGAUGAUUAGAUACCAUCGUAGUCUUAACCAUAAACGAUGCCGACCAGGGAUCGGGCGCUUGUAGUUUUUCCAAAAAGACACGCCCGGCACCUUUUGAGAAAUCAAAGUUUUUGGGU